AGUGAACGCUGGCGGUAGGCCUAACACAUGCAAGUCGAACGGCAGCACAGUAAGAGCUUGCUCUUACGGGUGGCGAGUGGCGGACGGGUGAGGAAUACAUCGGAGUCUACUUUUUCGUGGGGGAUAACGUAGGGAAACUUACGCUAAUACCGCAUACGACCUACGGGUGAAAGCAGGGGAUCUUCGGACCUUGCGCGAUUGAAUGAGCCGAUGUCGGAUUAGCUAGUUGGCGGGGUAAAGGCCCACCAAGGCGACGAUCCGUAGCUGGUCUGAGAGGAUGAUCAGCAACACUGGAACUGAGACACGGUCCAGACUCCUACGGGAGGCAGCAGUGGGGAAUAUUGGACAAUGGGCGCAAGCCUGAUCCAGCCAUACCGCGUGGGUGAAGAAGGCCUUCGGGUUGUAAAGCCCUUUUGUUGGGAAAGAAAAGCAGCAGGUUAAUACCCCGCUGUUCUGACGGUACCCAAAGAAUAAGCACCGGCUAACUUCGUG
rnacentral:rRNA from 1 species